CUGGCCUCAACAAUACAUUUCAUUGUUUUCCAGGGAAACCAACCAUCAAAACCGGCACCAACCAUUAGGUGCUCACCUGGAUUCGUGCUCUCUGCCAUUGAUCUAUUAACCGAAGAUCAAUAUGCAAAUGUCAAGGCUACUCCAUUUGGUGAAAUUCUGAACCUAAAAGCUGAUGCUCUUGAGUCCAGGAAUUUGCCGGUAUUCCUUAUGAACAAGACUGACAAGGACACUCUAAUAAUCAACGUCGGCACUCAAGGUGGACUGAAAAUUACCCCGCAUGCUGUGCAUUGUGUCAUGGGCACUCCACUUGGUGGUCGUGACCCAUCGGUCUGUUCUGUCACCCAAAAGAAUGAGCUGCUUAGACUCAAGAACGAGCUGAGCGUGCCAGUCGAUCAGAAUAUAACCUACAAAACUCUGUGCGACUAUAUAAAGUUGAAGAGGCCUGAUGAUUUGUCCACAAGAUGUUUCAUUCUGAUUAUAUUCAACUGGUUACUCUUUCCUUCCACAAGGACAUAUAUAUCUGGUAGGGAGGCUGCUUGGACUGCAGACAUUGCUAAUAUUGGUGCGAUCGAUUGGUCCAAAGCUGUUGUUGAUUACAUGAGGGAUAGUGUUGCAACAUGGCACUCCAAGAAGAACAACAAUGGAGUAUUGUCCAUUUCUGGUUGUGUGCUCUUUUUAAUAAUUUACUAUUUGGACAAUCUCCUGAGUGUCAAUAUGUUGGAUGCGUCUCAAACACCACGCAUAGCUUUCUACAACACUGGGAAGAUGCAAGCUAUCUUAAGUGAGGAUAAGUCGAAGAACAAGCCAGACUCGGAGUCAUAUGGCAACCUACCGCUUCGGUCCCAGGAGGGUACUUGCUACUUGGAUGUUAAUGCCAACGCGACAUCAGCAAGCCAUGCUCAACCUCAUGCCCAUUCUGUUCUGUUCAUUAGCAUGCUGGAGCAACUCAGGGACUGCGUGGAUCAACUACCUCAAUCAAAGCAGGCUGUGGCAUUUGCUGCUAUACGGAGGUGUGAUGAUUCAGUUGCCAAACUACUUGCUGAUGUUUCUCUCGAACAACGCAAGGUUGUAUCGGAGUUACGCUGCAUAAUGCUCGAUCCUUCGACGUCUUCGCCAUCACCUCCAAUUCAGAGGGAUCCUAAGCCAAUUUCUCGUGCUGCGGCACAUUUGGAUAAUGUAGCGGCUUUUGCUACUUUUCUUGAUGGCCCAGCAGAACGGUCGAUUCAUGACAUUCCUGCUGCUACAGACAAUAUUGAAGUUGAUGGCACCAGUAUACAAUCCGAAGCCGACCGCAGUGUUCAGCGAAACGAUGGUGUGGAUCCCAGCAAGAAUCUUCCAUCGUCAGGUAUUGGUCAUGAUGGCACAUAA
rnacentral:rRNA from 1 species